CCCUUAGAUGUUCUGGGCUGCACGCGCGCUACACUGAUGCGCUCAACGAGUUUAUGAACUUGCCCGGAAGGGUUGGUUAAUCUUUUUAAAACGCAUCGUGAUGGGGAUAGAUUAUUGCAAUUAUUAAUCUUCAACGAGGAAUUCCUAGUAGACGUAGUUCGUCAGACUGCAUCGAUUACGUCCCUGCCCUUUGUACACACCGCCCGUCGCUCCUACCGAUUGGAUGAUCCGGUGAGCUAUUCGGACUUUCGCAUUGUCGAUUUUCGGCUUUACGAGGGAAAGUCUCGCGAACCUUAUCAUCUAGAGGAAGGAGAAGUCGUAACA
rnacentral:rRNA from 1 species